rnacentral:rRNA from 1 species
UCGAGGAUCUUUAGCAAUGGGCGAAAGCCUGACUAUGCGACGCCGCGUGGACGAUGAAGGCCUUCGGGUCGUAAAGUCCCGUCAGAUGGGAUGAAUACCUGCAACCUAAUACGUUGCAGUGGUGACAGUACCAUCAGAGGAAGCCACGGCUAACUCCGUGCCAGCAGCCGCGGUAAUACGGAGGUGGCGAGCGUUAUUCGGAUUUACUGGGUGUAAAGGGUAUGUAGGUGGGCUUGUAAGUCAGGCGUGAAAUCCCUUGGCUCAACCAAGGAAUGGCGCUUGAAACUACUUGUCUUGAGUGCGGGAGAGGAGAACGGAAUUCCCGGUGUAAGGGUGAAAUCUGUAGAGAUCGGGAGGAACACCAGUGGCGAAGGCGGUUCUCUGGUCCGUUACUGACACUGAAAUACGAAAGCUUGGGGAGCAAACAGG